rnacentral:misc_RNA from 1 species
GGUGAACAGACAGAAAUCACCAAAUAUACCCAGCAGGAGUUUGAAAGACUUCAAAAUGAAAAAGUCUUAUGUAGGGUUUGCUUUGAGGGAGAGAUCAGUGUGGUUCUACUUCCCUGUAGACAUCGCAUCCUUUGCAGUGCCUGCUGUGAAAAGUGUAAGAAGUGUCCAAUUUGUCGAAUCUGUAUUGAGGAGCGCUUGCCGGUGUAUGAUGUUUAGGUUCUAACUUGUCCNNNNNNNNAUGGACAAGAAAAGCAUAGACAAGGAAAAAUAACUUUUAACAGGGAAGUUCUCUUUUUGGUGGUUCGCUGGAACUUCGACGACAAUGUGUGUAUGUUCAAAUUAACACGAGAAAGCAUUAGGCUACACAGAUAACACAGUUGCUAUACUUGCAUAUCAACACCUCUUUUUAUGUUGUUCCUAAAAAAAAUGUAAAUAAUUCCCGACUUUGAUAAGGUUUUGUUAUGCUGCAGAGAUGCAACAGAAAUAUAAGAGCUGUAUAUCAUACAAAAUGUAUAGCAAUAAGUGUGCAUACAUUCAGAGAUUGUGCUGUAUGGUGUGUGCAACAAUACAUUAGCAUGACUCGGUAGCCAAUGAAGAUCCUUUUCUUUUUUUUAGGAACAAC